GCUUAUCACCAUUCCAGAUUGAAUAUACCCGAUCUGGUCUGAUCUGGGAAGUCAAGCAAUCUGGGGGCUUGGUUAGUACUGGGAUGGGUGCCCGCUUGGGAAUACCAAGGGUGUGGAGCA
rnacentral:rRNA from 1 species